rnacentral:rRNA from 1 species
UACGGAGGAGGCAAGCGUUAUCCGGAAUUAUUGGGCGUAAAGCGUCCGCAGGUGGCGAUUCAAGUCUGCGGUCAAAGACUGGGGCUUAACCCUGGAAAGGCCGUGGAAACUGAAGAGCUAGAGUGCAGUAGGGGUAGAGGGAAUUCCCGGUGUAGCGGUGAAAUGCGUAGAGCUCGGGAAGAACAUCGGUGGCGAAAGCGCUCUGCUGGACUGCAACUGACACUCAGGGACGAAAGCUAGGGGAGCGAAUGGG